AGCAAAGUGAUGAAUGCUUCUGACCUGAAUUCCAAUGUGGAAUAAUUGCAUUAGUGGUCUUCAAAGUUCUCUGAUUUCU